ACGCACGCUGGCGGCGUGCCUAAUACAUGCAAGUUGAGCGAUGAAGAUUGGUGCUUGCACCAAUUUGAAGAGCAGCGAACGGGUGAGUAACGCGUGGGGAAUCUGCCUUUGAGCGGGGGACAACAUUUGGAAACGAAUGCUAAUACCGCAUAACAACUUUAAACAUAAGUUUUAAGUUUGAAAGAUGCAAUUGCAUCACUCAAAGAUGAUCCCGCGUUGUAUUAGCUAGUUGGUGAGGUAAAGGCUCACCAAGGCGAUGAUACAUAGCCGACCUGAGAGGGUGAUCGGCCACAUUGGGACUGAGACACGGCCCAAACUCCUACGGGAGGCAGCAGUAGGGAAUCUUCGGCAAUGGACGAAAGUCUGACCGAGCAACGCCGCGUGAGUGAAGAAGGUUUUCGGAUCGUAAAACUCUGUUGGUAGAGAAGAACGUUGGUGAGAGUGGAAAGCUCAUCAAGUGACGGUAACUACCCAGAAAGGGACGGCUAACUACGUG
rnacentral:rRNA from 1 species